UCGAUGAAGAACGCAGCUAGCUGCGAUAAAUAGUGCGAAUUGCAGACACAUUGAGCACAAAGAUUUCGAACGCAAAUUGCGCCAUCGGGUUCACUCCCGUUGGCACCUCUGGCUGAGGGUC
rnacentral:rRNA from 1 species